rnacentral:lncRNA from 1 species
AAAGCAGUCCCACCAUCAGCAACAAAACCUCAAGAAUAUUCAACUCCUAUUAAUACUCCUUCAACAUUUGCUCCUCAAUUAAGUGAGACAAAGCCAGCGAUUGAUACUGAGCUGAUUCAAGACACACCUGGAUACACUGAAGUACCUGCCCACAUGAAAAAGAGUACUGGUAGCAAAAAGAAGCAAGAAACAAAAAAUCAAAAUGAUCCAUUGCCUCUUGCUCCCAAUGAUGAAACUGAGGCAACACCUGAUUCCCAGUUAGCGACACACCAGUAUGCUGAUUUAGAUGAAAUAAGAUCAAGGAAGGGACGUCCUCCUCCGCCUACGGUCAUUAAUGAUGUUGAGUAUUCAGAAGUGAUCACGUCUUAGUAGUUAGUAACAGUCAGAUCAUUACGUAUGUAGUGUUGUGUUCACCAGUUAUAUUUACUUAUUAUUAUUAUUAUUAUUUAUUGCCAUUUUAUCAAAAUAGUGUAUGUCACUAUAUUAC